rnacentral:ncRNA from 1 species
AUGCUGGUACUCGCGACUGGUUCGCCCGGCCCUCCGCCGGGCGUCGUAAGAGGGAAUCCGGUGCGAGUCCGGAACUGCCCCGCAGCGGUGAGCGGGAACGACCGCCGUCAUCAGGCACUGGGCGCCGCCGGGCGCCUGGGAAGCGACGGCCAGUAGGCGUCGCCGGGUCCCCGCCCCGCGGGGGCGGGCCGGUCGGCGUGCCCGCGAGUCCGAAGACCUGCCAGUGGCCCACGCGCGUG